rnacentral:piRNA from 1 species
GAGGACAAGAAAAUAGUAGAUUGAAGAU